AAAAUCAGGAGUAUAUUUGCGUAAAAAAUCAUUGACCCAUGAUAUAUCUUUAAAAUGAUUUUGACGAUGUUUUGAAUUUAGUUUUCUCAUAUUUUGCCAAACAGUGGAAAUUGGUGUUAAUCUAUUAAAUUUGGAACAAAAUUCCUGCCACCCCUGUUGUCUUACUUGCUUAAUUACUAACUUUUUAACAGCUUGAACUCUUUUAAAAUUUAUGUAAUUAUCGAGAGUUGGAUUUUGUUUAAACCUAAGGUAAGCCGCUUUACUAUCAUUGACAGCUGUCGCACACCUGUUAUUCCACCAAGGUACUGCAAUAUGUUUGUGCCUCUUUGAAGUAUUUGCACCGCUAUUUGAUAAGUUCCUACGUGGAACGGAACGUUCCACAGCUGUCAAAAUAAUUUUACAGAACCUAUUGUAAUUGUUUAAGGGUUCAUUGACAUCAUACUCGAAAUCCAAAAGUAAUCGAUUAACAGUUUCAGAAUAAAGAUCCCAAUUAACGAGACGUAGGUUUAUACGAUUUAACAAAAGUUUAUUAACUUCAUCUAUAGGAGCAUGUUGUUCACCUGACGGAGUUGAUGAAGAGUUCUUUGUGUUUAUUUUAGUAAAAGUCGGCAGAUGCUGCAACGCUCAGAAUUCUUACAGAAUUUAGCUAAAUGUCCAUACCUCAAGCACCGGUAGCAUUGUUUAACUGGUGGUAUAUAUGGAGUGACAUUGUGGCGCCAACCUCCAAUAUCCAGAUAUUCAGGAGGAGAGUGAGAGCAAGUCUCUGGAUCCAAUGGUUUUCUGACUAUCUGAGGAUUCUACAAAGACAACAAAUUCUGUCCCAGGGGAUUCCUCGGGAUAUCUUCUAAUAUAAUCUGUGACGUAGUAAGGUUUAUACUUAUCGGCCUUAUCAAUUUCAGAUUCUGAGUCAGUAGAAGUAUCUUCCGAAUAUAUAUCCUUGUCAUUACAAGGUUCAUGGUCUACAUCACCUGAAUCGUCAUCUUUUUUUUUCCUUUUCCUACAACUGCGCUUCCCCAUGAAUGCUAAUUAUAUUACUGUCACUGAAUUUAGUGAAAAUAUAAUAUUUUAUUCAAUAAUAAGAAUUGAUAGAGAUAGUUUUUAUAAAUUAAUAAAAAAAAUUUAAAAAACCCGCUUGUUCUUAUUCGAGUUUCCCGCCUUUUU